UGAGGAAUAUUGGUCAAUGGGCGAGAGCCUGAACCAGCCAAGUCGCGUGAAGGAAGAAGGUUCUAUGGAUUGUAAACUUCUUUUGUAAGGGAAUAAAAAGAGUUACGUGUAACUUAUUGUAUGUACUUUACGAAUAAGGAUCGGCUAACUCCGUGCCAGCAGCCGCGGUAAUACGGAGGAUCCAAGCGUUAUCCGGAUUUAUUGGGUUUAAAGGGUGCGUAGGCGGAAGAUUAAGUCAGUGGUGAAAGUUUGCAGCUCAACUGUAAAAUUGCCAUUGAAACUGAUUUUCUUGAGUGUAAAUGAGGUAGGCGGAAUGUGUUGUGUAGCGGUGAAAUGCUUAGAUAUAACACAGAACACCAAUUGCGAAGGCAGCUUACUGGGAUACAACUGACGCUGAGGCACGAAAGCGUGG
rnacentral:rRNA from 1 species